rnacentral:rRNA from 1 species
GACGAACGCUGGCGGCGUGCUUAACACAUGCAAGUCGAACGGUGAAGCGCCUUCCUUUUUGGUGGGUGUGGAUGAGUGGCGAACGGGUGAGUAACACGUGAGUAACCUGCCCCCUUCUUCUGGAUAACCGCAUGAAAGUGUGGCUAAUACGGGAUAUUCUGGGUCUGUCGCAUGAUGGGUCUGGGAAAGAUAUUGUUUCGGUGGGGGAUGGGCUCGCGGGCUAUCAGCUUGUUGGUGGGGUGAUGGCCUACCAAGGCGGUGACGGGUAGCCGGCCUGAGAGGGUGGACGGUCACACUGGGACUGAGACACGGCCCAGACUCCUACGGGAGGCAGCAGUGGGGAAUAUUGCACAAUGGGCGCAAGCCUGAUGCAGCGACGCCGCGUGAGGGAUGGAGGCCUUCGGGUUGUGAACCUCUUUCGCCAGUGAAGCAGGCCUGCCUCGUUUGUGGGUGGGUUGACGGUAGCUGGAUAAGAAGCGCCGGCUAACUACGUG